rnacentral:lncRNA from 1 species
UAACGAAUGUAUGAAACUGAAAUAAAAUGAUAAGUAAAUAUAUGAAAUUGAAAUGUUAUAAAGAUGUUGUAAGGAAUUGAAAUCGACCCCAAACUUGAGGGGGUAAAAUGUAAUUUACCCUAAAAAAAUUAAAUAAAUAGAUAGUAUAUACAAAUGAGUAGAAUACAUGCUUGGAGUUGUAAGUUAAUUAAAUUUGUUGAGGUGCUAAAUACUUUUUUUCAUGUUGAAAUUAACUUUCGAAUAUCAAGUCAAUAUUGAAAAUAAUUAAUAAAAAGUAAAGAGGAUUAAGAG